AACGAACGCUGGCGGCGUGCUUAACACAUGCAAGUCGAACGGGGAUAUCGGAGUAGUAAUACGAGGAUAUUCUAGUGGCGGACGGGUGAGUAACGCGUGAGGAACCUGCCUUGGAGUGGGGAAUAACAGUCGGAAACGAUUGCUAAUACCGCAUGAUAUAUCGGAGCUGCAUGGCUUUGAUAUCAAAGAUUUAUCGGAGUUGGAUGAGCCCGCGUUGGAUUAGCUAGUUGGUGGGGUAAAGGCCUACCAAGGCGACGAUCCAUAGCUGGUCUGAGAGGAUGAUCAGCCACACUGGGACUGAGACACGGCCCAGACUCCUACGGGAGGCAGCAGUGGGGAAUAUUGGACAAUGGGCGCAAGCCUGAUCCAGCCAUGCCGCGUGAGUGAUGAAGGCCCUAGGGUUGUAAAGCUCUUUCAACGGUGAAGAUAAUGACGGUAACCGUAGAAGAAGCCCCGGCUAACUUCGUGCCAGCAGCCGAC
rnacentral:rRNA from 1 species